CUUUCUUUUCAUCCAUCCUGUACCUCCUUGGAAGAGGGCAGAAAAAUAUGCUUUUCCUUGCAAGAGAGCAGACAAAGGCAAAGAGAAAGCAAACCGUAUAAGAAGUCUGGUUUAAGGUUCCCUUGGCUUGACCAAGAAAUCAUUUCACCAAACGUCAGUCAGACUAUCAGGUACCUGGAUCAACCCUAAAGCUCACAAUGUGAUGUGGCCUUCUCAGCAAAGCUACCCAGUCCAACGUGCUCUGAGAUGUGACAUGACAAGGAAGCAAUGCAGCAGAGGGGGCCUUCAGAAGAUCAUAGUUGACUGCCACCAAUGAAGCUCUCAUAUUAAAAUCACAGGGAAGACGCUGCAGGUGUCCGAACUCAACAACAAUCCAGGUCCAAAGGAAAAUGCAGAUUACACACUGGAACUCUAGGAAGAAAACAGCUCCAUUCUGUCCAUUGAAACGGCUUCUUAUUCACCGCUCACUAAUGACUGAUGUCCGAAAUGAAUUAGGAAGAUUCCCUUCUGACCUAAGAACCAUCAGAAGGUAUUUCCCAAGCAAGAAAUAAAAUAAAAC
rnacentral:lncRNA from 1 species